CUUCUCAAUGAGACUGGCGACGA
rnacentral:piRNA from 1 species